rnacentral:rRNA from 1 species
UACGUAGGGGGCAAGCGUUGUCCGGAAUUAUUGGGCGUAAAGAGCUCGUAGGCGGUCUGUCGCGUCGGUCGUGAAAACUUGGGGCUUAACUCUGAGCUUGCGGUCGAUACGGGCAUCACUGGAGUUCGGCAGGGGAGACUGGAAUUCCUGGUGUAGCGGUGAAAUGCGCAGAUAUCAGGAGGAACACCGGUGGCGAAGGCGGGUCUCUGGGCCGAUACUGACGCUGAGGAGCGAAAGCGUGGGGAGCGAACAGG